rnacentral:rRNA from 3 species
AAAUUGAAGAGUUUGAUCAUGGCUCAGAUUGAACGCUGGCGGCAGGCCUAACACAUGCAAGUCGAACGGUAACAGGAAGCAGCUUGCUGCUUUGCUGACGAGUGGCGGACGGGUGAGUAAUGUCUGGGAAACUGCCUGAUGGAGGGGGAUAACUACUGGAAACGGUGGCUAAUACCGCAUAACGUCGCAAGACCAAAGAGGGGGACCUUCGGGCCUCUUGCCAUCAGAUGUGCCCAGAUGGGAUUAGCUUGUUGGUGAGGUAACGGCUCACCAAGGCGACGAUCCCUAGCUGGUCUGAGAGGAUGACCAGCCACACUGGAACUGAGACACGGUCCAGACUCCUACGGGAGGCAGCAGUGGGGAAUAUUGCACAAUGGGCGCAAGCCUGAUGCAGCCAUGCCGCGUGUAUGAAGAAGGCCUUCGGGUUGUAAAGUACUUUCAGCGGGGAGGAAGGUGUUGUGGUUAAUAACCGCAGCAAUUGACGUUACCCGCAGAAGAAGCACCGGCUAACUCCGUGCCAGCAGCCGCGGUAAUACGGAGGGUGCAAGCGUUAAUCGGAAUUACUGGGCGUAAAGCGCACGCAGGCGGUCUGUCAAGUCGGAUGUGAAAUCCCCGGGCUCAACCUGGGAACUGCAUUCGAAACUGGCAGGCUUGAGUCUUGUAGAGGGGGGUAGAAUUCCAGGUGUAGCGGUGAAAUGCGUAGAGAUCUGGAGGAAUACCGGUGGCGAAGGCGGCCCCCUGGACAAAGACUGACGCUCAGGUGCGAAAGCGUGGGGAGCAAACAGGAUUAGAUACCCUGGUAGUCCACGCCGUAAACGAUGUCUACUUGGAGGUUGUGCCCUUGAGGCGUGGCUUCCGGAGCUAACGCGUUAAGUAGACCGCCUGGGGAGUACGGCCGCAAGGUUAAAACUCAAAUGAAUUGACGGGGGCCCGCACAAGCGGUGGAGCAUGUGGUUUAAUUCGAUGCAACGCGAAGAACCUUACCUGGUCUUGACAUCCACGGAAGUUUUCAGAGAUGAGAAUGUGCCUUCGGGAACCGUGAGACAGGUGCUGCAUGGCUGUCGUCAGCUCGUGUUGUGAAAUGUUGGGUUAAGUCCCGCAACGAGCGCAACCCUUAUCCUUUGUUGCCAGCGAUUAGGUCGGGAACUCAAAGGAGACUGCCAGUGAUAAACUGGAGGAAGGUGGGGAUGACGUCAAGUCAUCAUGGCCCUUACGACCAGGGCUACACACGUGCUACAAUGGCGCAUACAAAGAGAAGCGACCUCGCGAGAGCAAGCGGACCUCAUAAAGUGCGUCGUAGUCCGGAUUGGAGUCUGCAACUCGACUCCAUGAAGUCGGAAUCGCUAGUAAUCGUGGAUCAGAAUGCCACGGUGAAUACGUUCCCGGGCCUUGUACACACCGCCCGUCACACCAUGGGAGUGGGUUGCAAAAGAAGUAGGUAGCUUAACCUUCGGGAGGGCGCUUACCACUUUGUGAUUCAUGACUGGGGUGAAGUCGUAACAAGGUAACCGUAGGGGAACCUGCGGUUGGA